CGACUCUCCAGCGGUUAAGGAGUGUGGGCGCAUGUCUGCUCUCACCGGAGAGGAUAUAUGUGCCAGUUUUCUUCUUUGGAUGUUUACUGUCAUCAUGGCAGGUGGAAUCCCAGGCUCGUCCACAUCAAAAUUCAAGUCUGGCAGCUGUUGAGAAUCCUCAGGUUCUGAGUCUGGUUUCUCUGCCAAUUCUUGUUGCUGUGGCUCACUAGCAGGGAGAAGAUUGCAAAGCCCCAGGACAGCCAGAGAGAAAGCCCAGUCCUAAAUCGCCACCAAAUGAACUGGUGGCAACUGUAACUGGACCUCUCCCGAAGAUUGUAACAGGUGGCAGAGUUCAUGACAAAGGAGGUUCUCUGUCAAAUAGUCUGGACCCAAGCCAUUAAGGGCUUUAUAGAUAGAUUUUUGCAAAAUUGAAAAAUUGGAUCAGAAGAGGUAUGAAGGAUAUCAAGGCCAAAUUUCCUGCAUUGAUAGACAACCCCUGAACAAAUCAACCUAUUUACUGCAAAUGAUUAAAGAUACAAGUAUGUGUUUUUGCAACAAAGAUUGUGAGCAUUGUACAUUAAUAAGCUUGGGACCUCACAGAACCCUUCAGGAUCACCAAAAAGUUCAUAAUAAUUAUCUGAGGCCCCAACUCAAAUUGCAUUCACUGGCAGCAUGGGAAUGUCUGCAAUAGGGCUUCUGGCCCUACCAUGAAGAUGACAUGAGACUCCGUCAUCCUCCCCACAUCAGAACCACCCCUCUCCCUCUCAGAAAUGUGAGCGACACUGGUAUGGAGAAGAAUCACAGUGUGAGUUGCAGCAACAUGGCCUGAGAUGUCUCACUCCCCUUGAAAACAGGAAGUUCAUCCCAGAGGGAAAGCUACUUAAUAGUCAACAUAUGUCAUGUAAUGGUCAAGGUAUUUACAUUAAAGGUCAUCCUUUUUUUUUUUCUGCA